rnacentral:rRNA from 1 species
AUUGAACGCUGGCGACAUGCUUUACACAUGCAAGUCGAACGGUAACAGGUGAAGCUGACGAGUGGCGAACGGGUGAGUAAUGCAUCGGAACGUGCCCGAUCGUGGGGGAUAACGCAGCGAAAGCUGCGCGAAUACCGCAUACGAUCUGAGGAUGAAAGCGGGGGACGGUAAGGCCUCGCGCGAUCGGAGCGGCCGAUGUCAGAUUAGGGAGUUGGUGGGGUAAAGGUUCACCAAGCCAACUAUCUGUAGCUGGUCUGAGAGGACGACCAGCCCAACUGGGACUGAGACACGGCCCAGACUCCUACGGGAGACAGCGGUAGGGAAUUUUGGACAAUGGCCGAAAGCCUGAUCCAGCAAUGCCGCGUGCAGGAAGAAGGCCUUCGGGUUGUAAACUUCUUUUGUUCGGAGCGAAAAGGCCCUCUCUUAUACAGUGGGCUCAUGACGGUACCGUAAGAAUAAGCACCGGCUAACUACGUGCCAGCCGCCGCAGUAA